rnacentral:rRNA from 1 species
CUGCUGCCUUCCGUAGGAGUUUGGACCGUGUCUCAGUUCCAAUGUGGGGGACCUUCCUCUCAGAACCCCUAUCCAUCGUCGUCUUGGUGGGCCGUUACCCCGCCAACUAACUAAUGGAACGCAUCCCCAUCGAUAACCGAAAUUCUUUAAUAUCAAGAUCAUGCGAUCUUGAUAUCCUAUCGGAUAUUAAUCUUUCUUUCGGAAGGCUAUCCCCGAGUUAUCGGCAGGUUGGAUACGUGUUACUCACCCGUGCGCCGGUCGCCAUCGG